rnacentral:misc_RNA from 1 species
UUUCCGUAGGUGAACCUGCGGAAGGAUCAUUAAAAGUGCCCCAGCCUAAUACAUAUGGUUUGGCGGACUAUACCACUGUCCCGCACCCUUCGUGUCUACGGAUGCUAGGGUGUUAGGGUUAAUGUGUCUACCCAUUGUGAAACUUCUACCUUUGCUUCGGCAGCACUCUCAGCAAAAGCUGGAGGGGUAAGGCUGUCAGAAGCCCAUAUCAAACUAGUUGAUGAAAUGUCAUGCAGUCUGAUACUUUUAUAUUUGAGAAAUCAAAUUGACCUUAAAACUUUCAGCAACGGAUCUCUUGGUUCUCGCAUCGAUGAAGAACGCAGC